rnacentral:rRNA from 1 species
UGGGGAAUAUUGGGCAAUGGGCGCAAGCCUGACCCAGCAACGCCGCGUGAGGGAAGAAGGCUUUCGGGUUGUAAACCUCUGUCCUUGGUGACGAAAAAAAUGACGGUAGCCAAGGAGGAAGCCCCGGCUAACUACGUGCCAGCAGCCGCGGUAAUACGUAGGGGGCGAGCGUUGUCCGGAAUUACUGGGCGUAAAGGGUGCGUAGGUGGCCUUUUAAGUUGGAUGUGAAAUCCCCGAGCUUAACUUGGGUGGUGAAUCUCAUACUGGAGGGCUAGAGUGCAGUAGAGGAAAGCGGAAUUCCUAGUGUAGCGGUGAAAUGCGUAGAUAUUAGGAGGAACACCAGUGGCGAAGGCGACUUUCUGGACUGUAACUGACACUGAGGCACGAAAGCGUGGGGAGCAAACA